AGUGAACGCUGGCGGCGUGCCUAACACAUGCAAGUCGAACGGGCUAGUGCUUCGCACUAGUCUCUUUCUGGGGUUGCUACUCUAAGGCUACCUGCUAAAGUUAUUGCUUUAAAGCAGGGGUUUUAGGGGACCUUCCCCAAAAGGGGCCAGUGCGGAGCACUGGCCAGUGGCGAACGGGUGAGUAACACGUGGGUAAUCUGCCCUCGAGUGGGGAAUAAGCUCCCGAAAGGGGGUCUAAUACCGCAUGACGUUUCAUAACGAUGGUUAUGAAACCAAAGCCCAAAAGGCGCUUGAGGAGGAGCCUGCGUCCUAUCAGCUUGUUGGCAGGGUAAUGGCCUACCAAGGCUAUGACGGGUAGCCGGCCUGAGAGGGUGACCGGCCACACUGGAACUGAGACACGGUCCAGACUCCUACGGGGGGCAGGCAGUGGGGAAUCUUCCACAAUGGGCGAAAGCCUGAUGGAGCGACGCCGCGUGAGCGAAGAAGGCCUUGGUUGUAAGCUCUGUCUGGAGGAC
rnacentral:rRNA from 1 species